GUACGUGCAGCCUGAGAUGGCGCAGCAGACUGGCCCUUAAGCUCCGGCGAAGCCCGAAGCAAAAACUCCCAGUGACAUCUUUAGAGCGCUCUUCCAUGAGGGGUUUCCGUUCAGCCUUAUAAUACGAGGGCGUUCUGAAGACUUACACUCAGAGUGGAAAGAAUUGGCCAUCUUUCAGACAGUAGAUGUUUCCUUCAUCAAGAACGAUUAUUACUGGCAAUGUUAAUAAGCCAAGGGGAUUUUUCAACAACUGAUAACCUAUUUUACUUGAUGGCAACUUUCUGUUUAUCCUCUAUCUGCUGUAUCCUUUAGAAGAGAAAUUCCAUGGAAUGACCCUGUAAAUUGCCCAGAUAGGUAGAGCAUUAAGGACAUCUGUCUGUUCCUGAAGGAUUUAUUACUGGAUUGCAAGCAACUGCUGUUUAGUGAGAAACCUGAGGUAAGUCUGUUUCAGCUCAUUAAUUAUCUUGAUACUUCACAGAAUAUAUUUAGAGUUCUUGAAGCACACCAUGCAUACUUUUCUCUGGGGUCUUAGACACACAUAAUUUUAUUCUCAAGUCAUUGUGUGAGGCAUUUUUUUAUUAAAACACAAAUUUUAUUACAGUUAAUAAAAAUAUCUCAAAAGAAAAUCACUCUACCAUGGUACAACAGUCACACUGUGAGGUAACUAACACAUUUCUAUAUCAAGGCUUGUAAAGUAAUUGUUUGAUAAAACUACUUCCAUUGCAAAAAGCUGUCUAGUUGCAGUAUUUGUAGUAGCUUCAGCACAAGUUCUUUUUUAAUAUCUUCCUAAUCUGAUGUUUACAUAAUAAUUCAUGGUACCCUUAACUAAUAGUUUGGUUCCUAAAUCAUUAAAAAUGUGUCAGACAGCUUUAGCAAUGUUUAUAUUGCUAUGGUGGAUUUAUAUACAAGGCAAAUGAAAUACUCAGUAUCUGGAGUAUACUGGAUUAACUGCACUGCCUUCUUUAACCAUAUUUCUGAUACUUUCCUAAAGUUUGCUUGCCUAAAAGUAAACAAGGAGUGUAUGACAGUUAACCUCUUUCAUUUUAUGAUCCUUUCUAUAGAGUAUCACCAGAUGCCAGGUUAAAAUUUAUGGUAAAGGAGAAACUGAAGUAAGAAUGGAAGUUAUUUGCACUCAGAUUAGUUACUGGUUUCUUCUUCCCAGAAUCCUUUCUGUUUCAUUGGCCUGUAUCCAAAUGGUUUUUCCUGAAGAUUUUCUACAUUUGACUACCUAAAGCUUGCAUCCAAAUUAAAUUGUGCAGAUGGUGCUUUCUAUAUCCUAUGAUUGCUGCUUCGAGUGACAUUUUGUAUGUGUUCUCAGGGCAACUGAAAAGAGGUUAAGUGGUACAAUGCACUGCUAAAAAUAUCAGAAGAGUUGGUUAUUUCUUGCCUAUCAAAAUGUUCAUGAAGGGACAUGUUGCUGUUCUUUCUUCAAGCAAGACCAUUCCACUCUUAUUUUCUUCUGCCCUUGAGGGUGAUUUUCUUUCCCUUUCCUCAUAACCAUGUACUUUUAUCCUUAUCUAAACAUUAUGUGUCUUCUCUAUAGAAUAUUAAUGACUGCUUUUAAGUUCUAUGUUCAGUCUUUCGGCACUUGUUUCACUCACUCAAUUGCAUCUUUUAUUCCCUUCAUUCUCUUAGGUUUUUUAAAAAAAUGUUUCUCAAGCAACAUAUACUUGCAUAUUAAUAUAACUUGCAUAUAAAUAAGACAGAGGUUCUAGAAGGGGAGGAUAAGCAGGGGUGUGCUUUCCAUACUCUCAAAAUGUCCCUUCCAUCUUCUCUCCUGAUAGACUAGUCUCAGUGUGGUACAGUAGAAAAGAUCCCAUGCAACCAGCAUCAGAAAAGAUGGCGGAAAGCAAACAGGAAGAGAAAAUUUCUGAGAGAAGAGAAAAUUCAUGUCAUUUAGUCUUCUUCAGAGUCAGUGUGGUAUGUGUUUAAGGCAUUAGACAGGAAACCAAGAGAUUGUGAAUACUAAUCCUGAGGGAUCCUUGGUACUCUCUGAAAAUCUUGCCAAGAAAACUGCAGGGACUAGCAGAUGCUGAAAGUCAACACCACUCAUUACCUGUAAAUGGGUGAUCAGGGAGGCACUUAAUAUUUCAACAGCCCAUCAUUCGUAUGUUCAUAUGAAGUGACAAUACUGUAGAGCUGGUGUUCCUUAAAGUUAAAGCUGUUGAGAUAACCCAGCUAGAUAUGCUGAUAGUGUGAGUGAUAGCAUAUUUUCAUUCUGCUGCAAAUUGAUACCUGAUUUAAAUGGAAUUUUGGGAUGCACAUUUUGCAGUUCUGACAGUGAGGGCACCAUAAUGGUUUGGGAUAUGUCUCAAAUACCACCGUUCACUAUCAUCUUUUUAAAUUUGGCUAUAAGGCUUAACUCAUGUGAGACUUGUGCCAAUGUUACAAUUUCUAAAUAUUAAUCUCAGCACUGAGUGAAUAGGUACAAGUCUAACAAUAGGCUUUAUGCCAAAGAUUCAUUGCUUUUAAGAAUUGAACUUUGCUUAAAAUGCUUACUGCUUUUAACAAAAACAAAACCCCAAUACAUAAUAAUUAAAGAACAGAGACAAGAUUAGGAAUGAGCCUUUCCUUCAAAUGCUUUCUCCUUCUGAGAAAGAGGCACAGAUGAUGAAUGGGCCCUUUUGUACAGGCAUUCUGCUUAAGAAUUGGAAACUACAACUGCCAAUCUUCCUCUAAGCACAUCUAUUCAGUACAGAAAGCUACUUGUAUUCUAGCCAGCCUGCUUUCACCAGCUUCACUGCCUACCGCUGCCUACCACUGCCCAAAUUUACCAAAACUUCUCCAGCUACAGAACUCCAAGAAGAUCUGCAGCAAUACGAUGAUGCCAUACAAUCUGCCACUAAAAGCCUCAUUGUCAUAUACCGUAUAAUCUUUCAACUUUCAGAGCCUUUUUUCCCCUCCAUAUUAGCUGCCUAAAUCCUCUGCUGUCAUUAAAAUCCACUUCUUUCUACACCAGUCAUAUUACGCUGUUGCCCACAAUGUGCAGUAGGAUAUGUGUGCCUUACUUCUACACUUGUCCUCUUCCUCACUGUCUAGCUGCUUUAUUUUGAGCGUUUCUGAAGCAACACAACUUUGUAAACCAGCUUGUGUUGUCUAUAAUUGUCUUCACUGAUACAGUUGCUCAAGUCAAAUUACUGGCCUGACUUCCACUAAUUCUGGCAUCUACUUACAAUUAGAUUACGAAAGGUAAACUGUUUGAGAAGUGAAACCCUUCUAAUCUUUCAAAUAGAAUAUUGCUAACAAGCACAUCUUUACACAUUAGUGUCACAUGGAGAUUUGUCAUUGAGUGUCUUUUUGUGUCUUCCCAGAAGUGGUUCUUAUUAAAAUAAGGAUGGCAUCUUGACACACAAAAUUGAAUUGGGCUCCUACAAAAAUUAAAUCUUCAGUUUAACUAACUUCAGGUCUGAUUCACAAAUCUAUUUAGUGUAUAUUUCCUCCAAUAACAGAUGCCCUCACAUCCUUCUCAGAGGUAUCCAUUUGGCCUUCAUGAGACCAGAAUGUUGGACUAGAUAAAAAUAAAAGCUCUUUUCAUGGUUUCAUGACUGAGUAAUAUUUGGGGGGAAUGUGGCAAGAUAGCAAGGGAAAGACAGGCAGACAGGUUAAAUAUUCUGCAUAUAGCUUUUUUUACAUUUUGAAUUGGAAAAAGGUUAACUGCCUCCAAGUUUCCAAAAAUUGCUAGAUUUUGCACAUUCUUCCCAUAUUAUGUCACCAAACUGAUUUUAUUGUAAUAUUUGUAACUGCAUAAAAAAGAAAGCAACAGGAGAUGUAGGCACUUGUAUAACCUGCAGAGAUGGUAAGUCUGCAGUGGGUCUGCCAUGUCUAUUAUAAAUAGUGUGUGAGGUUGUGAGCUUUUGUUUUUUAUACAGCUGUAGGCAUUCUUAUGUUCUCCACUGGCCCUUUGGGGAGCCCUCAGAAUGGUGACCAUGACAACAACUAAUGAUUAUGCAAUUUGCCACUAGAGGCCACUCCUCCUUUUGCAGCUUUCAUUGGGUAAAGUCAGUGAAUAAUUUCUUUUUGUCACUAUCCACCACCAUUAGAGAAAAUAACUUGAUAAAACAAGAUUAUAUGAAAUUUAAUUGCCCAUAGUAUUAAAAUUAGCUACAUUAUUAACAACCACUUUUAAAGCUGUUUUGUGCCACAAAUUUGAAUUUAAAAAAUCCUUUGUCAACUCCCACAUUGUUUUUAAUAGUCCUAGAUUGUACCUUUAGUUAUUAAUUGUAAUAUUAAUUACAGUCAUUUUAAAAAUACAGUUACAUGGGCAAAGCAUGGCUGAUUAAUACAUAGUGGGUAUCUUUUUAAAUACUAGUAAUCCAGACUGAAAUAGUACGUUUCGGUUUCUGUGCUCAACAGCACUUUAUUUCAGAUGAUACUCAUAUAAUAUAUAAUGCUUUUAUCUCAGCAAGUGCAGAAAAAGUGGGUUUUUACUCCAGCCUAGCAUAGUCUUCUCCAACACGAUGUGUUCCAGAUGCAUUAUGAGAAUACUGUAGGCUGGUUGAAAAAUAAGAAAUGAUGGAGAUUUUUAACUAGAUGGAAAAGUCUAAUUUAGCAGCCCAAUGUUCCAUUUUGAAUCUCAAGUUUCAUCCCAUCUGACAGGAAUGAAUCUGGCAGGCUUGGCCUUCUUCUCUAAAGGGGACAGGCAGAGGAGAAUCAGGACUUUCACCUUGGAAAAAGUUAAUUUCAAUGACAUAUUCUAGAUUCACUGCCUACCCUUGUUCCUCUCCCUUGUUGUUCUUUUAGAGAUUCUAGCACAGUGGUUCUCAACCUUUUUAAUGCCGCGACCCCCAACCGGUCAUAAGUCGAGGACUACUCAACCGGUCGUAAGUCAAGGACUACUCAACUGGUGCAGCACCGUUUGCAGAAUGGG